CCAUAGCUCAGCAGAGAAGCGCUUGCUUGGUAUGCAGAAGGUCCUGGGGUUCAAAUCCUAGCAGCAGGG